UACGUAGGGGGCAAGCGUUGUCCGGAUUUAUUGGGCGUAAAGAGCGUGUAGGCGGCCAUACAGGUCCGUUGUGAAAACUGGAGGCUUAACCUCCAGACGUCGAUGGAAACCGUAUGGCUAGAGUCCGGAAGAGGAGAGUGGAAUUCCUGGUGUAGCGGUGAAAUGCGCAGAUAUCAGGAGGAACACCUGCGGCGAAGGCGGGUUGCUGGGCUGACACUGACGCUGAGGCGCGAAAGCUAGGGGAGCGAACGGG
rnacentral:rRNA from 1 species